UCUCCGUAGGUGAACCUGCGGAGGGAUCAUUACCGAGCUCAUGCCCUUACGGGUCGCUCUCCCACCCUGUGUUAUUAUUACCUUUGUUGCUUUGGCGGGCCGCCAUGCUCCGAUCCCGCUAUCGGCUUCGCCUGGUAAGCGCCCGGCAGCGGACCCUAUAUCCUUAUUAGUAGUGUCGUCUUGGUACUAUUUAAUAUUUAAAACUUUCAACAACGGAUCUCUUGGUUCUG
rnacentral:misc_RNA from 1 species